GGACCAAAAUAACCGGGCGGGAGGGGACACCUCGCAGAGAUGGAUCUCGAACUCCUGGGCUCAAGCGAUCCUUUCACCUUGGCCUCUCAAGUAGCUGGGACCACAUUUGCUCACCAGCUGGCCCAAGACCAGACUGGGCAACAUGAUGGAGUCUUGUUCUGUCACCCAGGCUGGAGUGCAGUGGCACAAUCUCAGCUCAUUACAAUCUCUGCCUACUGGGUUCAAGUUAUUCUCCCACCUCAGCCUCCCAAGUAGCUGGAAUUACAGGCACGAGCCACCACAUCCAGCUAAUUUUUUUGUAUUUUUAGUAGACAUGGGGUUUCACCGUGUUGGCCAGGCUGGUCUUGAACUCCUGACCUCAAGUGAUCCACCUGCUUCGGCCUCCCAAAGUGCUGGGAUUGAUUACAGGCAUGAGCCACCGUGCCUGGCCAUUGUUCUAUAAUAUAUCUUUUUUUUUUUUUUUAAUUGAGACGGAGUCUCGCUCUGUUGCCCAGGCUGGAGUGCAGUGGCGCAAUCGCGGCUCACUGCAAGCUCCGCCUCUCGGGUUCACGCCAUUCUCCUGCCUCAGCCUCUCCGAGCAGCUGGGACUACAGGUGCCCACCACCACACCCGGCUAAUUUUUUGUAUUUUUAGUAGAGACGGGAUUUCACCGUGGCCUCGAUCUCCUGACCUCAUGAUCCACCCGCCUCGGCCUCCCAAAGUGCUGGGAUUACAAGCGUGAGCCACCGCGCCCGGCUAUAAUACAUCUUAAUUGUGGUGGUAACAUGGGCAUAUUCCUUUGGCAAAACCAUUUGAACUGUACACUUAAAAUGUGCAUUUUAUUACAUAAAUCAUACCUAAAU
rnacentral:lncRNA from 10 species